rfam:Prevotella bivia DSM 20514 genomic scaffold Prebiscaffold_2, whole genome shotgun sequence.
GCAGUGUUCUGGCUCUGUCGCUGGCAUGCUUCGGUGUGCGAGAGGAAAGUCCGGGCAGCAUAGGGUAUCCUGCUUCCGAAAGUAGAAGCUAUUGGUAACAGUAGAUGAAGGUAGAAGAAAAAACCGCCAUUCGCAAGGAUUGGUAAGGGUGAGAAGGUGGUGUAAGAGACCACCAGCAGUUGGGUGAUCAGCUGGCUGUGCCGUUCAGGAGCUGCAAGUUCAUGUAAACCGUUGUUUGAGGGUUGCCCGCCCGAGUCUUAGGACACAACGGAGGGUAGAACGCUAGAGCUAUGGAGCAAUUCAUAGAGUAGAUAAAUGACAGGCGGUUUGCACAUCGAAAGAGGUGUAAAAUACAGAACCCGGCUUAUAGGAACACUGUUUUA